GGGUCGUAGGGAAAUGGACAUCGCACUUCUGUAUUCAUUGCACUGAAUAUAGUCUAUAAUACACAUGCAACGUAUUUAUACACAUGCACUCCCUUCCAUGGUUGAAUUAAAAGUCGAAAGGUCUUCUACCCACAAGCACCAACGCCGAUUUGAAUAGACGCGAUGUUGUCGCCAGACAACCGUGCAGGUAGGAGUCUCAGGGUCAACACGCUUUCACACGGGAACGCAACCGCUUCGGACGUUGGACGAACGUAUGUUGCCGCAAAAGAUCAAGGCCAACUUGCUUUCAUUUUUUACAAUCUCCGUAUGGGAUGUGGAAUUUCAAAACGCGCCGAGUCUAAAUGUCAAGUUGUUUUGCUUGUUGAGAAUAAUAAUUAAUUGCCCGUUUAUAUUUGCUCCGUGGGAUUAACGUAAUGGGAAAAAUUUGUUGCAACGCAUGUGGAGGUGUCUUCGUUUGUUAACUUUUAGAAAGUAUUCUCGCACCGUAUAAAUACAUCUCAUUUUUCUCUGUUUUGUCAGUAGUUGUUUUUGGUAUUAUUCGUGCAACGUGGAAGCUAACUUAGUGGUUUGGUGUUCGUACAAAAAAGCAGUCUUAAAGAUCAUCUUAGUACUCUCAACCCGUAACCGCAAAUAGAAUAGCAGCAAUCUUAAGCAUGGACUUAAGUCAACUGAAUCAAACCUGUCUUGCAGAAGGUGAUUUUGAGCAGCCGAUUGUCAAACUGCAUGAAUUGCCGAUAGGCGUUCCGUUUAAAAUUACUAGAGCCAAAAUUGUUAAUACAAAAUUUGGCAAUUCCGUGUUGCUGCAAUUAGAAAAUUCCGUAGUAUUUCUUCCUACUCGCGUGACAGAAGCUUUCCGUCCGAGACUAGAACACUUUGCGUCGGGGCAGUACAAACUGGUCUACGAGGGAUCCAAAGAUAUUGGAAAGCCCAACUCUUUAAAGAAAUUCAAAAUAAUUCAAAAUUAAUCAACAUAUUAUACAGGAUUAUGGUCAAACAACUUACAUUAGAAAGCCUUUGUAUUAUAAGAAUUUGCGAAAAUAUUAGGUGUAGUGCUGAUUUUUUGCGUGAGUCACCUUUGCCUUGGAAACUAACGAUACUAAUAUUUAAAUAUUAUUCGAAAUAUAGAUGGAGGUACCUUAAACAAUUAGCGCUCCAGUCUGAUGGCAAUUCUUUAUUAAAUUUAGAAUUCAUUCUGUUGAAUAAGAGAUUUGGAUCGUCUUACAGAAAUAGCAUUUUGGCAACUCCAACCAUUGAUUUUGACGGAGAAUCCGCUUACUGUUUAUGGGUCAGUUAUUACAGGAUAAAAUAUUCGGAAAUUUUAGUUUGUAAAUCUUGUCACUUUAUAUUUCAAGUAGUUAAAAAAUUUAAAAAGAAAAAUUUUAGACUUUUAUUGGAUCACUAUCAUUUACAGCUGGAUAUAAAUAAUUUGAAUGAUGUAUAUCACGAUAAACAAUUUUGGUGUCAAAGCUGCUUUGAAGAAGUUUUGUUCACUGUAGAAACUGAAGAUGAAUGUAAUUUAAUGCUUCACAAUGAGAGGAAAUAUGGAAAAAAGUUACGCUUUUCUGAUAGUCCAUUGAACUAUUAAUACUGUGGUUUUAUUAUAAAAUAUGUAACUGUAGAUAAGGCUUUUAUGUAUUGAUUGUAUUCCAUUGUAUUGCAACAAGAAUAAACAUGUAUAUAUUUAGACGCUAUUUUCUUUUUUACCACCACCACAACACCGCAUAAUAAUUACACAGAAGUUUGUAAUUGUAUAAUUUAUUUAUUAUAUACAUUAUUACUAUUUUACAAUUUCGUUAAAUGCUAAAUUAUUAAAUUGUUCUAGUUUUCUUUUGCACUCUUGAGCUUGCAUCCGCGCCACUUGCAAGUCUGUAUUAAAAAGCGCAAUUUGUGUUUCAAUUUCGUUGAUAUUGCACUCUAAUCCCGCCAACUGAGACGCCAAGUUUCUUUUUAAAUUGAAUGCCUCACAAAUGACACUUUUUUCUCUACCGUCCGUGAACACUUCGAGCCAAUCAGCGGAUGACGUUGGAGCUGCAAACGCUUCACUUGUGGUAGUUUUCUUCUUCUUCUUGCGGGAUACGACCGACGCACUUUGUUUUCGUUUUGUCGCAGAUUUUUUGGUUUGUUGCUCUACAGGAACGAAGCUGGACGGGAGCACUUCUGAUGAAGGAAAUUGCAACUCGAAAUUUUCCAAUAAAU